UUGCACUGUUCGUAACCUGGCUCAGUCCUCAGUGAGAGCUUUGUGUUCCAUUCCUGUGCCACAGUAAAACCCAGAGAGUGGCAGUGAUCCAGUAUGUCUUGUACUGUUUCCCUGUUCACUCCCUGGAAACAUGU
rnacentral:snoRNA from 1 species